rnacentral:ncRNA from 1 species
GACGCGUUGUCCGCCGCUCGUUUGCCGACCAGCAGUAGGGGCCCUCCGGCCCCCAAAGGGCACGUGUCGUUGGCUAAGCCCUCGCGGCGGACGAGCCGCGCGGGCCGCCUUGAAUUACAAUUUCCACCGGGCGGCGGACUGAAUCCUUUGCAGACGACUUAAAUACGCGACGGGGUAUUGUAAGUGGCAGAGUGGCCUUGCUGCCACGAUCCACUGAGAUUCAGCCCUUCGUCGCUCCGAUUCGU